CAUUAGAUGGCUGAAAUUUUAAGUAUUGGUCUCUUAAACCAAAUUAUAGUAUUAUAUACUUCUAAUGA
rnacentral:tRNA from 1 species